AGGCUGGAUUAGGCAUACCAAGUUAUGCUUUAUGCUCUGCCCGGUUGGGCUCCAUCCCUUUUGUUGGUCAGGAAAUUUGGCUGGAUCAAGACCAGAGAAAAGAUCACAUACAGACAUCAUAUUUUUCCAUUUUGUUGGUAAAUAUCCUUGUUUAUUUGCUAACAUUUUUAAAGAAUAGAACAGGGGUCUCCAACUCCAGGCCGAUGUCCUGAAGGUUUUAGAUAUAACCGUGGGUCAAUACACCUGAGUCACAUGAUUGGUUCGUUGCAAGGCCUCUGGAGAACUUCAGGACAUGUUGAGGAGGUCAAUUAGCCAUUUGAAUCAGCUGUGUUGGACCAAAGACACAUCUAAAACCUGCAGGACACCGGCCCUCGAGUCCUGGAGUUGGAGGCCCCCUGUGAAUAGAUUUUUCAAGGCAGGACAUUUUGAUUUCCUACAAUGAGCAUGGUUUCCAGUUGCAAAUAUGAGAGGGAAAGCGGGGAGGGAUAAACAAUGCAAAACAGAUACAAAUAUAGCUGAUUGUGAAGUUCAGCUCUCUUUCUCUGUCUGAUGGUCAUGAUGUUUAGACUGAACCAAGGAGCACUUCUCAUUCCGCUAUUAGUGAUGUGGCAUGUCUUUGCAGGAAUCGCUAAAGACGACCACAGAGCUUUGCUGGUGUCCAGAGGAGACUCAGUGACGCUGAUCUGCAACACAAGACAGAAUAAUACAACCCUAAUCACCUGGACCAACGGCAGAUCUGUUUUUCAAUAUUCCAUUGUGCUGAAUAGCACCCAUUCAAAUUUCUCUUUCCAUAAACUGAAAAUAAAUCGUGAGUUACCUGCAAAGCUAAUUAUUUUUAGUGCUCAGCCUGAAGAUGGAGGACUUUAUACAUGCUACAUAACAGACAGAAGUGGUGUAAACAGCAUUACAUGGAAUUUAACUGUGUCUGAGGACCCCAGAGAUUCCAUUUCAUCAAAGUAUUUUCUAUACAUACUCCCAUCUGCAAUUGGAAUCCUUCUAUGUGGCAUCACACUAGCUGUCUUUAUCUGUGGAAAAAUUGUGAUGAAGACACUGAAUCAGGAUCCAGUCCAGGAUCAGUUUCCUCCCCAGUCAGGAGAAGAGGCAGUUCUUCCUCAACCACAGGGUGGCACUAUUUGUUGUAAAAAUAAAAAGCAGAGGCGUCAGUAUAUGGAGAGGGUGAAUACAAUCUAUGAUAAUGUCUAAAUGGAUUAACAAUCCACAAAAGGGAGCACCAUCAGAGGGAGGACAACAGUGCUACUAUAGCCAAUAGAACAAAUCCCUCUGCUUACAAGAAGCAGCCAAUUAGAAGAAGGUUUGUAUUAAAGAACACGAGAAGGGAACUAAACGUGUUGUUUCAGGGACAGGAUGAACUGCAGGCCUACCAAAUAAAUAGGGAUGGUAUGAAACUGUGAAUCAGAACAAGUCAAGUCCAAGUGUAACUUGAAUCCUUAGGAAUUUUCCCUAAAGUUUUCACUUUAUGACAAUAAUGUAUUCUCAGCUCAAGCUCAUUAAUGUUUUUUCCUCCAAGUUUUCAUUAUAAGCUUGUUACAGGGAGAUUGUUCAUUUUUUUUUUUAGCGUGUGUGUGUGUGUGUGUGUGUGAGAGAGAGAGAGAGAGGGAGAGCGAGGGAGGGACUGUUAUUCUGUCUGUGAACAAAAUAACUUGAAAGAAAAAACCUUGCAGAGUGGGGUCAUGUUAACGAUCCUUUAAAAUUUGGCUUAUGUCCACCAAGGCCUUCAAGGUCAACUUAAUGAUGAUUCUUACAAGUGUGGUGUGUAUUGUCAACAUGUAAAAAAAUUUGAAAAAUCUCUAUAAAGGUUUAAAAUAUCAUGCCAAAAUUUUAUUCAAGGUUGUGAUUGCCUGAAGGUAAAAGUAAUAAUAAGGCAAUUCGGAGCUGUUUAAAACUUUGUUUAUUGCUAUCAUUGUUUGUACUGACAACAUAUAAGGGAUAUAAGUGAAAUGGGGUCAAACUUUCAUAAAGGUACUGUCCCCUUAAAUGUAAAAACUGUUCUUCCUUGGUGGAGGUUUGUGCUCUCGGAACACUUCUUGUAAUAUUUAUAUAUUGCAUAAUUUUUAUUUUAUAUUGAAUUAUUGUUUAAAUAUUAUAUUCAUUAUGAUUUAAUUUGUCAUGUGCUUAAACUUCAUGCAUCGUUAAAUGAACUGCUUUUUUGUCCCCUGCAAGUAACCACUUCCUGUUCUUGGCAUCACCUUUACAAGCACAUGUAGACGUGAUGGUGAAGCUUCACUUUGUCUCUCUGUAAUCAUGUUUCAUCCAGAUCAAUCAGAUAUUCUCUUUAAUUCAUUCUUAGCUGUGUGCCAUGUCCUCACAGGUACCGCACAAGUUUUUGAUGCACAGUUUCUGAGUUUAGUAGCAGAAUUUGUUUUCAUUGAAAGCACAGUGUGCACACUGUGCUUUGCCUGUGAGGUAGGAGAAAGGUGAUUAGAGCUGGGUCUACAGCCACACACACUAUGAUUCAAGAUCUUCCUCUGUCUUUAGUGUACCUGACGCUGUAGUGGACUUGUGUCUGAGAAUAAUAACAAACACUGAUCUAUUAAUUAAAUGGACAUUCAUGGGAAUCGAUUACAAUACCUAGUAGAAGAAAAAUGAUAUGGUUAUAUUUGGCAUACCUGUCAUUCAUGAUGAGGCUAUAAUAACUAAAGUAUAGUGAUCGUUUUUUUCUCCAACACCUUUGAAAAGUGUGAGUUUCCUGUUUGUACUUUUUCUUUGCAGUUAAGCUUGUGAGACCCUGUGUGUGGGCAGAAAUAAAGGAAAUGAGAAGCACCUUCUGUACUGCUAGA
ensembl:lncRNA